rnacentral:rRNA from 1 species
UACGUAGGGUCCGAGCGUUGUCCGGAAUUACUGGGCGUAAAGGGCGCGUAGGCGGCCUGCUAAGUCGAACGUGAAAUCCCCGGGCUCAACCCGGGAACUGCGUCCGAUACUGGCAGGCUUGGAAUCCGGGAGAGGGAUGUGGAAUUCCAGGUGUAGCGGUGAAAUGCGUUGAGAUCGGAAGGAACGCCCGUGGCGAAAGCGAGGUCCUGGACGCCUACUGACGCUGAGACGCGAAAGCCAGGGGAGCGAACGGG